GGAAUCAUUAGAGGACUAAAGAUGGGGACCCUUCGGGGCCUUUCGCUUAAGGAGUGGCUCUUGUCCUAUUAGCCUGUUGGUGGGGUAACGGCUCACCAAAGCAAUAAUGGGUAGCUGGUCUGAGAGGAUGAUCAGCCACACUGGGACUGAGACACUGCCCAGACUCCUACGGGAGGCUGCAGUCGAGAAUCUUUCGCAAUGGGGGAAACCCUGACGAAGCGACGCCGCGUGGAGGAUGAAGGCCCUCGGGUUGUAAACUCCUGUCACUUGGGAUGAAAAGUGGGGCCAUUAAUACCGGUUCUGCCUGACAGUACCUUGAAAGGAAGCUCCGGCUAACUACGUGCCAGCAGCCGCGGUAAUACGUAGGGAGCAAGCGUUGUUCGGAUUUACUGGGCGUAAAGGGUGUGUAGGUUGCUUGGUAAGUCAGUUGUGAAAUCCUUACUGCUCAACAGAAGAAUUGCAAUUGAUACUACCAGGCUAGAGUUCGGUAGAGGAGAGCGGAAUUCUCGGUGUAGCGGUGAAAUGCGUAGAUAUCGAGAAGAACACCAGUGGCGUAGGCGGCUCUCUAGCCCGAUACUGACACUGAAACACGAAAGCGUGGGUAGCGAACGGGAUUAGAUACCCCGGUAGUCCACGCCGUAAACGAUGGGUACUAGGUGCAGGUGGUAUCGAUCCCUUCUGUGCCGAAGCAAACGCGUUAAGUACCCCGCCUGGGGAGUACGGCCGCAAGGCUAAAACUCAAAGGAAUAGACGGGGGCCCGCACAAGCGGUGGAGCAUGUGGUUUAAUACGACGCAACGCGUAGAACCUUACCAGGGCUUGACAUGCUGGUGGUACUGGCUCCGAAAGGAGACAGGACCCUUCGGGGAGCCAACACAGAUGUUGCACGGCUGUCGUCAGCUCGUGUCGUGAGAUGUUGGGUUAAGUCCCGCAACGAGCGCAACCCUUGUCCUUAGUUGCCAGCAGGUAAUGCUGGGGACUCUAAGGAGACUGCCUGUGAUAAGCAGGAGCACGCUGAGGAUGACGUCAAGUCAUUGUGGCUCUUACGCCCUGGGCUACACACGUGCUACAAUGGUCGAUACAAUGGGUAGCAAUGCCGCGAGGUGGAGCCAAUCCCCAAAAGUCGGCCUCAGUUCGGAUUGGAGUCUGCAACUCGACUCCAUGAAGUCGGAAUCGCUAGUAAUGGCGCAUCAGC
rnacentral:rRNA from 1 species